CAGAGUUGCAAUACUCCCACAAACCAUCGCGAAUCUUACCCGUACGGUUGCCUCGGCGCUGGCGGUCCGGAAGGCCCUCGGGCCCCCCGGAUCCUCGGGUCUCCCGCUCGCGGGAGGCUGCCCGCCGGAGUGCCGAAACCAAACUCUUGAUAUUUUAUGUCUCUCUGAGUAAACUUUUAAAUAAGUCA
rnacentral:misc_RNA from 1 species